GACGAACUGUGCAAACGUUAUUCGGAAUCACUGGGCUUAAAGGGUGCGUAGGCGGCGCGACAAGUUGGGUGUGAAAUCCCUCGGCUCAACCGAGGAACUGCGCCCAAAACUGUCGUGCUCGAGGGAGACAGAGGUGAGCGGAACUUAGGGUGGAGCGGUGAAAUGCGUUGAUAUCCUAAGGAACACCGGUGGCGAAAGCGGCUCACUGGGUCUCUGCUGACGCUGAGGCACGAAAGCUAGGGUAGCGAACGGG
rnacentral:rRNA from 1 species